AAAUUGAAGAGUUUGAUCAUGGCUCAGAUUGAACGCUGGCGGCAGGCCUAACACAUGCAAGUCGAACGGUAACAGGAAGCAGCUUGCUGCUUCGCUGACGAGUGGCGGACGGGUGAGUAAUGUCUGGGAAACUGCCUGAUGGAGGGGGAUAACUACUGGAAACGGUAGCUAAUACCGCAUAAUGUCGCAAGACCAAAGAGGGGGACCUUCGGGCCUCUUGCCAUCGGAUGUGCCCAGAUGGGAUUAGCUUGUUGGUGGGGUAACGGCUCACCAAGGCGACGAUCCCUAGCUGGUCUGAGAGGAUGACCAGCCACACUGGAACUGAGACACGGUCCAGACUCCUACGGGAGGCAGCAGUGGGGAAUAUUGCACAAUGGGCGCAAGCCUGAUGCAGCCAUGCCGCGUGUAUGAAGAAGGCCUUCGGGUUGUAAAGUACUUUCAGCGGGGAGGAAGGGAGUAAAGUUAAUACCUUUGCUCAUUGACGUUACCCGCAGAAGAAGCACCGGCUAACUCCGUGCCAGCAGCCGCGGUAAUACGGAGGGUGCAAGCGUUAAUCGGAAUUACUGGGCGUAAAGCGCACGCAGGCGGUUUGUUAAGUCAGAUGUGAAAUCCCGGCUCAACCUGGGAACUGCAUCUGAUACUGGCAAGCUUGAGUCUCGUAGAGGGGGGUAGAAUUCCAGGUGUAGCGGUGAAAUGCGUAGAGAUCUGGAGGAAUACCGGUGGCGAAGGCGGCCCCCUGGACGAAGACUGACGCUCAGGUGCGAAAGCGUGGGGAGCAAACAGGAUUAGAUACCCUGGUAGUCCACGCCGUAAACGAUGUCGACUUGGAGGUUGUGCCCUUGAGGUGUGGCUUCCGGAGCUUACGCGUUAAGUCGACCGCCUGGGGAGUACGGUCGCAAGGUUAAAACUCAAAUGAAUUGACGGGGGCCCGCACAAGCGGUGGAGCAUGUGGUUUAAUUCGAUGCAACGCGAAGAACCUUACCUGGUCUUGACAUCCACGGAAGUUUUCAGAGAUGAGAAUGUGCCUUCGGGAACCGUGAGACAGGUGCUGCAUGGCUGUCGUCAGCUCGUGUUGUGAAAUGUUGGGUUAAGUCCCGCAACGAGCGCAACCCUUAUCCUUUGUUGCCAGCGGUCCGGCCGGGAACUCAAAGGAGACUGCCAGUGAUAAACUGGAGGAAGGUGGGGAUGACGUCAAGUCAUCAUGGCCCUUACGACCAGGGCUACACACGUGCUACAAUGGCGCAUACAAAGAGAAGCGACCUCGCGAGAGCAAGCGGACCUCAUAAAGUGCGUCGUAGUCCGGAUUGGAGUCUGCAACUCGACUCCAUGAAGUCGGAAUCGCUAGUAAUCGUGGAUCAGAAUGCCACGGUGAAUACGUUCCCGGCCUUGUACACACCGCCCGUCACACCAUGGGAGUGGGUUGCAAAAGAAGUAGGUAGCUUAACCUUCGGGAGGGCGCUUACCACUUUGUGAUUCAUGACUGGGGUGAAGUCGUAACAAGGUAACCGUAGGGGAACCUGCGGUUGGAUCACCUCCUUA
rnacentral:rRNA from 1 species